rnacentral:rRNA from 1 species
ACGGUCCAGACUCCUACGGGAGGCAGCAGUAGGGAGUUUUCGGCAAUGGGGGGAACCCUGACCGAGCGACGCCGCGUGAGUGAAGAAGGUCCUUCGGAUUGUAAAGCUCUGUUGUAAGCCAUGAAUGAUAGCUUUAGGAAAUGAGAGUUAUUUGACGACAGCUUACCAGAAAGCCACGGCUAACUACGUGCCAGCAGCCGCGGUAAUACGUAGGUGGCGAGCGUUAUCCGGAAUUAUUGGGCGUAAAGAGUGAGCAGGCGGCCGAAAAAGUCUGAAGUUAAAUCGUGGGGCUCAACCCCAUUCCGCUUUGGAAACUGUUUGGCUAGAGUGCGAUAGAAGUGAAGGGAACUCCAUGUGUAG